rnacentral:rRNA from 1 species
UAUGAACGCUGGCGGCGUGCCUAAUACAUGCAAGUCGAGCGAACAGACGAGGAGCUUGCUCCUCUGACGUUAGCGGCGGACGGGUGAGUAACACGUGGAUAACCUACCUAUAAGACUGGGAUAACUUCGGGAAACCGGAGCUAAUACCGGAUAACAUGUUGAACCGCAUGGUUCAACAGUGAAAGACGGUCUUGCUGUCACUUAUAGAUGGAUCCGCGCCGCAUUAGCUAGUUGGUAAGGUAACGGCUUUCCAAGGCAACGAUGCGUAGCCGACCUGAGAGGGUGAUCGGCCACACUGGAACUGAGACACGGUCCAGACUCCUACGGGAGGCAGCAGUAGGGAAUCUUCCGCAAUGGGCGAAAGCCUGACGGAGCAACGCCGCGUGAGUGAAGAAGGUCUUCGGAUCGUAAAACUCUGUUAUUAGGGAAGAACAAAUGUGUAAGUAACUAUGCACGUCUUGACGGUACCUAAUCAGAAAGCCACGGCUAACUACGUG